rnacentral:rRNA from 1 species
UACGUAGGGUGCGAGCGUUGUCCGGAAUUAUUGGGCGUAAAGAGCUUGUAGGCGGUUUGUCGCGUCUGCUGUGAAAUUUCGGGGCUCAACCCCGAACUGCAGUGGGUACGGGCAGACUAGAGUGUGGUAGGGGAGACUGGAAUUCCUGGUGUAGCGGUGAAAUGCGCAGAUAUCAGGAGGAACACCGAUGGCGAAGGCAGGUCUCUGGGCCACUACUGACGCUGAGAAGCGAAAGCAUGGGGAGCGAACAGG